rnacentral:rRNA from 1 species
GACGAACGCUGGCGGCGUGCUUAACACAUGCAAGUCGAACGGAAAGGCCCUGCUUUUGUGGGGUGCUCGAGUGGCGAAGGGGUGAGUAACACGUGAGUAACCUGCCCUUGACUUUGGGAUAACUUCAGGAAACUGGGGCUAAUACCGGAUAGGAGCUCCUGCUGCAUGGGGUGGGUUGGAAAGUUUCGGCGGUUGGGGAUGGACUCGCGGCUUAUCAGCUUGUUGGUGUGGUAGUGGCGUACCAGGGCUUUGACGGGUAGCCGGCCUGAGAGGGUGACCGGCCACCUUGGGACUGCGAUAGGGACCAGACUCCUACGGGAGGCAGCAGUGGGGAAUAUUGCACAAUGGGCGGAAGCGUGAUGCAGCAACGCCGCGUGCGGGAUGACGGCCUUCGGGUUAUAAACAGCUUUCGACUGUGACGAAGAGUGAGUGACGGUAAUGGGUAAAGAAGCAACGGCUAACUACGUG